UGUAUAUUUAGUAGAGAUGGGGCUUCACCAUGUUAGCCAGGCUGAUCUCGAACUCCCAACCUCUGGUGAUCUGCCCGCCUCGGCCUGGACCUGGUUUCAGAAUUAUGGGGGAGAGGGGGAAGAGGGGUAGAUUUUAAACUACUAAUUCAAUUUCUUUAAGGGGUAUAGGACUAUUUGGAAUUCCUUUUUUUUUUUUUUUUUUUUGAGACAGAGUCUUACUCUGUCACCUAGGCUGGAGUGCAGUGGUGUGAUCUCAGCUCUCUGCCACCUCCACCUCCUGGGUUCCAGUGAUUCUCAUGCCUCAGCCUCGCAAGUAGCUGGGACUACAGGCAGGCACCACUAGGCCCGGCUAAUUUUUUAUUUUUAGUAGAGAUGAGGUUUCACCAUAUUGGUCAAGAUGGUCUCCUGAGCUCAAGCAAUCUGCCCACCUUGACCUCCCAAAGUGCUGGGAUUAUAGGCAUGAACCACCGCGCCCGGCCACUAUUACUUCUUGAGUCAUGCUUUAGAUAUUUUUCUGGAAAGUUGCCCAUUUUGCUUGGGUUUUCAAAUUCAUUAGUGUAAAGCUAUUCAUAGUAUUAUUUUAUAUCUUUUGAAUCUCUCCUCUCUAAUUUCUGUUAUCUCCCUUUUUUUAUCCUAUAUUGAUUAUUUAUGCCUUCAAACUUUGUUCUUAAUCAAUUG
rnacentral:lncRNA from 1 species